GAAUUACUGGGCGUAAAGCGCACGUAGGCGGACUAGUCAGUCAGAGGUGAAAUCCCAGGGCUCAACCCUGGAACUGCCUUUGAUACUGCUAGUCUUGAGUUCGAGAGAGGUAAGUGGAAUUCCGAGUGUAGAGGUGAAAUUCGUAGAUAUUCGGAGGAACACCAGUGGCGAAGGCGGCUUACUGGCUCGAUACUGACGCUGA
rnacentral:rRNA from 1 species